AUUGAACGCUGGCGGAGUGCAUUACACAUGCAAGUCGAACGGCAGCACGGACUUCGGUCUGGUGGCGAGUGGCGAACGGGUGAGUAAUGUAUCGGAACGUGCCCAGUCGUGGGGGAUAACGUAGUGAAAAUUACGCUAAUACCGCAUACGAUCUAUGGAUGAAAGCGGGGGAUCGCAAGACCUCGCGCGAUUGGAGCGGCCGAUAUCAGAUUAGGUAGUUGGUGGGGUAAAGGCCCACCAAGCCAACGAUCUGUAGCUGGUCUGCGAGGACGACCAGCCAAACUGGAACUGAGACACGGUCCAGACUCCUCCGGGAGGCAUCAGUGGGGAAUUUUGGACAAUGGGCGAAAGCCUGAUCCAGCCAUUCCGCGUGCAGGAUGAAUGCCCUCGGGUUGUAAACUGCUUUUGUACAUAACGAAAAGGUUUCUACUAAUACUAGGAGCUCAUGACGGUACUGUAAGAAUAAGCACCGGCUAACUACGUGCCAGCAGCCGCCGUAA
rnacentral:rRNA from 1 species